AGUCUUUGUUUAGUGGCCUACUCCUGAGAAGGGAGCACACGGGAUGGAGUGGAGUAACCUCUUCCAGGACCACAAAGCCGGGAGCCCAACCCACAAUUUAAACAUUGAGCUCUGAAGCUGCUUUGACUAGACGUGAAGUUGUCACACCCAGAGAAGCGCCCAUGGACCUAGGGAAAGACUUUUGUGAUCCAGACUUGAGGCUCAUUUACAUUUGACUUAUUCUCGUGGAAACUCAUAAAGCGUUCUAUAUUAGCCGCUGAGUUUUAACACCUUCUCUGGACACUCAUCAUAUAGUCUAUUUUUGGCCCAACUUCUUUUGAAAGGGCCCAUUCUUUACCUCAUUUAGAUAAAUCAGAUAGGUCUUUCUUGCUUACUUCAUUAACAACUCAAUUAAUUAUAACCACAUCACAUGAAGAUUAGAUGUAAUUAGGACCUGUCCAAUGUCUUUACAUCCCAGUCCUUCUGUACUCCUAACCUUAAGCAAAUUGGUCGACCUCUGUAGGUCUAAGUAUUCUGUGUGUAACAUGAAAGCUUUGAAUUAGGCCACGUUUCCGGCUAAUUUUUUAAAAAGUGUUUGUGAUCCUGUGAAUUCCAUAACCCACCACCUUCCUUUUCCAACUCUUCACCUUUUAAAUCCACUUUCCAUCUCUCCAGAGGAAAGGGCAUUGAGAGUAGAGGGAGCAAGUCCCUUUCACUAAAGCAGCCUGGUUUGAAAAAGCCGGUAAUCUCUGAACUGUCUCUUGCUUGAACAAGAAAAACUCCCUCUGAAAUACCUUUUUCUCCUUGUGAUAGCAACAGAAACCAAGCAGCAACAGCCCUUGGAAAGAGGCUAAAUUUUUCUUGACUUCUGCAGCAACAAAGACCGUGAAAAGUUGGCACUUCUGGCCUAACGCUGCCGUCAUCCUACCCCUCACCCCAGGGCAACCCAGGCUGGACAUUUAGUGCCUCCCUCUUUAUUCCUCUGUGAUCAUCCAGAUCAGCACUUGACUGUUUAUUUUCAAAUCUCACGAACCUCACCCCAAGAUCUUCACAUUCUGGAUCUCAGCUGCUCUUGAAGGACAGUGACUUGUUACCACCGCAACAGCAGAGCCUGCCAUCCCCAACAGAUCACCAGUUGUCCCUGACAUCGUGCCCUACCUUGUCUCCCUUUGUGGUCUCCUAAAUGCCCAUCUCGUUGGCCUUGGUUCGGCUAGUGGUAUGGAGGGGUGCUGCCUAGCACUGACCUGAGAGUGUGUGUGACCCACUGACCCAAUGGACAUCAAAGGCCAGUUCUGGAAUGAUGACGACUCGGAGGGAGAUAAUGAAUCAGAGGAAUUUCUCUAUGGCGUUCAGGGGAGCUGUGCAGCUGACCUGUAUCGACACCCACAGCUUGAUGCAGACAUUGAAGCCGUGAAGGAGAUCUACAGUGAGAACUCUGUAUCCAUCAGAGAAUAUGGAACUAUCGAUGACGUGGACAUUGACCUCCACAUCAACAUCAGCUUCCUCGAUGAGGAAGUCUCUACAGCCUGGAAGGUCCUCCGGACAGAACCUAUUGUGUUGAGGCUGCGAUUUUCUCUCUCCCAGUACCUAGAUGGACCAGAACCAUCCAUUGAGGUUUUCCAGCCAUCAAAUAAGGAAGGAUUUGGGCUGGGUCUUCAGUUGAAAAAGAUCCUGGGUAUGUUUACAUCCCAACAAUGGAAACAUCUGAGCAACGAUUUCUUGAAGACCCAGCAGGAGAAGAGGCACAGUUGGUUCAAGGCAAGUGGUACCAUCAAGAAGUUCCGAGCUGGCCUCAGCAUCUUUUCACCCAUCCCCAAGUCUCCCAGUUUCCCUAUUAUACAGGACUCCAUGCUGAAAGGCAAACUAGGUGUACCAGAGCUUCGGGUUGGGCGCCUCAUGAACCGUUCCAUCUCCUGUACCAUGAAGAACCCCAAAGUGGAAGUGUUUGGCUACCCUCCCAGCCCCCAGGCAGGUCUCCUGUGCCCUCAGCACGUGGGCCUCCCUCCCCCAGCACGGACCUCUCCUUUGGUCAGUGGUCACUGCAAGAACAUUCCCACUCUGGAGUAUGGAUUCCUCGUUCAGAUCAUGAAGUAUGCAGAACAGAGGAUUCCAACAUUGAAUGAGUACUGUGUGGUGUGUGAUGAGCAGCAUGUCUUCCAAAAUGGAUCUAUGCUGAAGCCAGCUGUCUGUACUCGUGAACUAUGCGUUUUCUCCUUCUACACACUGGGCGUCAUGUCUGGAGCUGCAGAGGAGGUGGCCACUGGAGCAGAGGUGGUGGAUCUGCUGGUGGCCAUGUGUAGGGCAGCUUUAGAGUCCCCUAGAAAGAGCAUCAUCUUUGAGCCUUAUCCCUCUGUGGUGGACCCCACUGAUCCCAAGACUCUGGCCUUUAACCCUAAGAAGAAGAAUUAUGAGCGGCUUCAGAAAGCUCUGGAUAGUGUGAUGUCUAUUCGGGAGAUGACCCAGGGCUCAUAUUUGGAAAUCAAGAAACAGAUGGACAAGUUGGAUCCCCUGGCCCAUCCUCUCCUGCAGUGGAUCAUCUCUAGCAACAGGUCACACAUUGUCAAACUACCUCUCAGCAGGCAGCUGAAGUUCAUGCACACCUCACACCAGUUCCUCCUGCUGAGCAGCCCUCCUGCCAAGGAGGCUCGGUUCCGGACCGCCAAGAAGCUCUAUGGCAGCACCUUUGCCUUCCAUGGGUCCCACAUUGAGAACUGGCAUUCGAUCCUGCGCAAUGGGCUGGUCAAUGCAUCCUACACCAAACUGCAGGAAUGGGAAAAGGACAGCACAGGAUGCCCUCCAAGGAUGAGCUGGUCCAGAGAUACAACAGGAUGAAUACCAUCCCCCAGACCCGAUCCAUUCAGUCAAGGUUCCUGCAGAGUCGGAAUCUAAACUGUAUAGCACUUUGUGAAGUGAUUACAUCUAAGGACCUCCAGAAGCAUGGGAACAUCUGGGUGUGCCCUGUGUCCGACCAUGUCUGCACAAGAUUCUUCUUUGUAUAUGAGGAUGGUCAGGUGGGCGAUGCCAACAUUAAUACUCAGGACCCCAAGAUACAGAAGGAAAUCAUGCGUGUGAUCGGAACUCAGGUUUACACAAACUGAGGGGGCCCCAGCCCUCGUACCACCCCUGUUACCCCAGGAUCCAUCUGCCCUCAUAAAAGUGUUCAGGUACAGCAGCUGAGGCUGCCCUGAGGAAUCAAGGGGCCAUUACCAAGGGGCAGGAAAAGGAUAUGUAAGAGGUGGCCUUCAUGGUAGAGCUUGACCCAAGAACUACUCCACAUUCGGAUGGCCCAGACUGACUCCAUCCCCUGACUUUCCCUUUGACUUCACCCUGUUUGUAAAUAAAACAAUAAAAUGGAAGGUGCUGUGGACUGGA